rnacentral:rRNA from 1 species
UACGGAGGGGGCAAGCGUUAUUCGGAAUCAUUGGGCGUAAAGGGCGCGUAGGCGGCUUGGCAAGUCGAAGGUGAAAUCCCCCGGCUCAACCGGGGAACUGCCUUCGAAACUGCCAGGCUAGAGUCCGGGAGAGGGUAGUGGAAUUCCCAGUGUAGCGGUGAAAUGCGUAGAUACUGGGAGGAACACCAGUGGCGAAGGCGGCUACCUGGACCGGAACUGACGCUGAGGCGCGAAAGCGUGGGGAGCAAACAGG